ACAUUAUUUACAUAUACAUUAGGUUUGAAGCAUAGGCAGUUGCUCCAUCUUGUUCGAAAAAAGAUAGAUGGUUAUUUUGGCCAACUUGUGUUCAUGCAAUGAAAGCUACCUAUAAUAAUUUUCCAAUUAUUGAUUCCUGCAACAAGCUUAGACUUAAAAGAGUUAAUGUAACUGGAGAUCAUUAAAUUUUACAGUAAUUAUUGCUAUUCUAAUUUUUUUAUAUGAAUAAAAAAACUAUUAUAGUUUUGUAUUAACGGUGAAGUAUUAUAUCAAAUAUACUAUUUUGUUUUUAUUUCGGAAUAAGUAAUAUUUUGAAUCUGUUUAUGGUAUUAUUACUGCCUAGAUAUAUAUAGUAAUCUGUUUACACUUAUUCUACAUUUUUGUUUUUACAUAAUUUUGUUUAUAUUUAUUUUACUAAAUAAUUACUAAUAGAUAAAGAAGUAUGUGCAGGAUUUAAUUUCACGACUAAGAGGACUCCGAAAAAGAGUUUCUAGUGGAUCAAAGAUCGAGAAAUGAUUUGGUUUUAACUCGUUUGCAUCUUAUGAACAAAGUACAUAAUAUGAUUUAAUUUGAUGAUUUAUAGUUACACCUAUUGAAAUUCUGUAUCUCAAUGAUAUCCUGGCUUAUCGAUACGAUAUCCUGUAAAACUACUUACACAAAUAAAUUUUACUCACACACGUAAAUCCUGUAAAUUCACUCACACACAUAAAUUUUAAAAAAGAUGUUUAUAUUUUUAUCU